AAUUCUAAAGUAGGAAAAUUGGCUCCAAAAAGGGGGAUCACAAAAUAUUGUGCACAAAUGUUGAAAGGGGGUGAUCAACAUCAAUCUGAAGAUGGAUCUCUGCAACAAUCUCCAUCUAACCACACAACUUGUGAGUUGCAUUUGGCAUGCAUGUUAUUUUUUAUAUUCUGCUGAUGAUAAAUGCAGUAUGGUAUUUAUUGAAUUAAAAACUACUUUUGGAAAUAAUUGAAGCAUGUAAUCAAGAUAUUUAAUGUGAUUAAUGGUUCUUUUCUUAUAAAAGAAGAUUAAAUAGCAGCAUAUUUAAUUACUGACAAUAGCAGCAUAUCUAAUAAAUGAUCUUUACAUUGUCAUGACAUGAAUGCAUAAUGACAUUAAUACCUGUAUUUUGGAUAAAAAUGCAGCUCAAGAGACUACACCUCCAGACUUAACGGCAUCUCCAACUAUAGUCAAUGCACCUCAAGAUACCACACCAUCGGGGAUAGUCCAAGACAACACACCUCCAGACACAGAAUAUUUAGAGACAACCCAAGACAAUGCUACUCGAGACAGCACCACUACCAGAGGUAACCCGAGAUACAGUACCACCUACAGCAGCUGCAAAUAUAGCAUCAGGAG
rnacentral:lncRNA from 1 species